rnacentral:lncRNA from 1 species
CCAGAGUGCUGAGAUUACAGGCUGGCAUUGAACUCACUGUGUAGCCUAGGCUGGCCUCAAGCUCACAGCCAUCCUCCUGCCUCAGCCUUCCAAGUGCUAGGAUUAUAGCUUCUUAGGAAGCCACAAAAUUAAAGCACUGACGCAUAAUUGUUUUGAAAAAAAGAUAUCCCUGACAGAAGGCUUUUGAACUCCACAAUCUCCAAGGAAGCCUAUUAAUGAGCUAUUCUGGGGAACCACCAGACAAAUUAAAAAAAAGCUCAAUGCUUUGGGGAAAAGCUUUGAAUGAACUCCAGGUCCCUCCUGCUCCCUCCAGUGGCUUCCAGGCAGCCCCAGGGAUGCUGGAAAGAAAAAAAGGCUGAAUAGUGUCAGAGCAGACUUCUCACUGAGAACAACAAUAGAAGGUUGAACUAUAAAAUGUUUUUGAUGAGAUAGAAGAGCUACCAAUGCAACAAGGACUUAUUGGAACUAACUUCCAGAAAGCAAGUGACCCUCAGGAUUGGAGCCCAAGGUCACCUAAGGAUGGAGAAGGCAGAGGUCGAGAGGCACAGAACCUGAGCAGGGCCAGCAGCAGACACCUGAGAGGAACAUCUGCCAGUCCCACAGCGUUGCGGGAACAAAUGUUGACCUUCACAGCCAAAGAUUUUAAAAUAAUUGUGGCUAAUAUGUUUAAGAAAUUAAAUGAUGGUUGGCAAGGUGACACAUGCCUAUAAUCCCAGCAUUUGGGAGGCUGAGGCAGAAGGAUUGCCAUGAGUUUGAUGCCAGCCUGGGUUACAUAGUGAGUUCAAAGUCAGCUUGAACUGCAUAGUGAGACCCUAUCCCCCUUCCUCCAAUCAAAUGAAAGAUGUAAAUAGGAACUGAAAUUUUCAUUUUAGUCAUUGGAAUUUUUAUUUCAUCCAAUGAAAAGAAUGGAGAGUGGAAAGUCUAGUAACUGAAGGUUAAAAAUUCAACAGAUGAAUCUGACAAUAGAUUAGAUACAGCAGAAAUGAGCAAAUUAGUGGUUUGAAA